rnacentral:tRNA from 1 species
GCUGUAGCUCAGUGGUAGAGCACCUGCCUCGAAUGUGUGAGGCACUGGGUUCGAUCCUCAGCACA